rnacentral:other from 1 species
GAAUCGCUGUGGCAUACGAGUUCACAUCAAUGUGUUGACCGACUAUUUCUUUGUAUUUUCGGGAAACAAAGCAUUUCUCUAGUAUGCAAGCCGUAUCACGCGGAAGCAACUGCAAAGAGAAAUCACGUUACCCACCUGCUCAUAAUGUGCGGUGUCAAUACAAAUCGUGAACCACCGGUGCCAAUACAGCUUUCUU